CUUUUACAAUGAAGAGUUUGAUCCUGGCUCAGGAUGAACGCUAGCUACAGGCUUAACACAUGCAAGUCGAGGGGCAGCAUGAACUUAGCUUGCUAAGUUUGAUGGCGACCGGCGCACGGGUGAGUAACACGUAUCCAACCUGCCGAUGACUCGGGGAUAGCCUUUCGAAAGAAAGAUUAAUACCCGAUGGCAUAGUUCUUCCGCAUGGUAGAACUAUUAAAGAAUUUCGGUCAUCGAUGGGGAUGCGUUCCAUUAGCUUGUUGGCGGGGUAACGGCCCACCAAGGCAUCGAUGGAUAGGGGUUCUGAGAGGAAGGUCCCCCACAUUGGAACUGAGACACGGUCCAAACUCCUACGGGAGGCAGCAGUGAGGAAUAUUGGUCAAUGGGCGCUAGCCUGAACCAGCCAAGUAGCGUGAAGGAUGACUGCCCUAUGGGUUGUAAACUUCUUUUAUAUGGGAAUAAAGUGCAGUAUGUAUACUGCUUUGCAUGUACCUUAUGAAUAAGGAUCGGCUAACUCCGUGCCAGCAGCCGCGGUAAUACGGAGGAU
rnacentral:rRNA from 1 species